GUGUGCAGGGAUUUUUGCUACCGAUUCUCCGAACCACCCGCCGUCAUCACUACCGGAUCGGGCGAUCCGGUCCCAACCAGGAGCAUUUCACGCCCUGCUUGAUUGUUGUUGUGUUUUUUUGCAGACGUUUCCUGACCCAACUAGGUCACAUCAUCAGGGCUAAGAGGAAUGAGCUUUCAGCUUGAGAUUUCUCUCGCUGCUUCCAAGAAGUGCUUGAGGGACAAAUCCUGCUUUCUGCAGAGAACAGGAAGAGGGAUGCUUCUGGGAGCCCAAACGACCUUGUUCCUUGACACCCUUUUCAAACUUGGCUCUUCUCAGCAGGCCACCUACAGAUAGCGCAUGGCGUCCAAUGGCUGCUUUGCUGGAGAACAUGUGGCCUGGAAUCUCCUUGCUGUAUUAUGUUUUGGGGGAGUCCCCCCCAUCUCAACAUCUGGAUCCAACUAGCAGCAGCCAAUGCGGUUGUGACUGGAAGGGAGGGGGCUGCUUUCCUUCGUCCUGGCAUCCAACAAGGAACUGGGUAUGGCUACUCUGGUGAAGAGAAGGACUGGAGAAACUCUCUCUCAUCCAUGGCUGUGGCCCGUGGACCAGCAGAUGGCACUCAAGAGACGUUCCUGGACGUCUUGAUUUCUGUUGUUUAUCUCAGUGGCAAUACUUUAUAAUGCGGUUGCAAACUCUCUCCUCUUACUUGACAACCGAUCAUUUGAAAGAUCGUUACAACAACAAUGAAGUGGAGUCUGUUUUAUUAUUAA